AUACUUUUAUUGCAAUACACCCCUUUAGGUCUAAAAAAAACUAUUAAAAUCCUCUUCACCUUCUUUCAUUUCUUCAACAAAAACCCAACCCAAAUUUCACCUUCCUCCGUCACCUAUCCCUGCCCUCGCCGGAACACCGCCAUCAACCACUCCCCACCGCUCUUCAUCUUCGGCAUCCGCAUAGCCCACGCUCUCCAUUUUUCGCUAUCCUCGUAGCGCCCCAGAUCUGCAGCCGGUCAUCUUCUCCGACCUUCUUCCCUGGUCUGCGGCAGGUCUUAUUCCGUUUUCGAACGGUCACCCAGUCCGCUCAUUUCCUCAGCAACCGCGCUCCGCCACCUCCGGUCAUCACUAUCCUGGUACAAUGGGCACCAAAAGACAGCGACCAACUAAUAAGGUCAGUACUUUCCGAGCUCCUGCCCCUGCUGCUGUUAAUGUUCCCGCGCCUCCUCCUGAUUUGGUUGACAUAGUAGCACGUUUGGACCGUAUCGAGGCGCGCCAGCAGCGUAUUGAGGCAAGCCAGCAACGUAUUGAAGCAAGCCAAGAGCGUAUUGAGACUGCCGUCCACCAGCGCUUUGAUGAGCUCUUCCGCAUUAUGGAUGGUCAAAUCCCCCAACCUCCAACUCAGUAAUUCGUCGUUUUUUUAGUUUGUGUGGAUGUCAGGGAAGUGUCUUUCAUUUUAUUUUAGAUGAUGGUUCUAGUUUUUGCUACUUGUUAACAAUGAGGACAAUGUUUGGUUGAAAUGUAGGUGGCGUACCAAUUAUAUCAAAAUUUGCCAAUUCAGUUUAUAUGCACUACAAUUGGGAAAUGUGAGUAAUUGGGUAAAAGAUAUGGCUGAAUUGUUGGCUUGACUAUUAAGCUGAUAUUAAGAUCUUUAGAAAAUUAGAAGGGUACUUCAUUGCUUAUGGGUGAUUGUCUUGCUAACUGAUAUCUUUGUAGUUGGAAAUGGCAGGAUGGGAUCCUAGUUGAAGUUUAGCCGUGUUUGCUUGCA